AGUGAACGCUGGCGGCAGGCCUAACACAUGCAAGUCGAACGGCAGCACAGAGGAGCUUGCUCCUUGGGUGGCGAGUGGCGGACGGGUGAGGAAUGCAUCGGAAUCUGCCUAUUUGUGGGGGAUAACGUAGGGAAACUUACGCUAAUACCGCAUACGUCCUACGGGAGAAAGUGGGGGACCUUCGGGCCUCACGCAGAUAGAUGAGCCGAUGCCGGAUUAGCUAGUUGGCGGGGUAAAGGCCCACAAAGGCGACGAUCCGUAGCUGGUCUGAGAGGAUGAUCAGCCACACUGGAACUGAGACACGGUCCAGACUCCUACGGGAGGCAGCAGUGGGGAAUAUUGGACAAUGGGCGCAAGCCUGAUCCAGCCAUGCCGCGUGUGUGAAGAAGGCCUUCGGGUUGUAAAGCACUUUUGUCCGGAAAGAAAGGCGCUCGAUUAAUACUCGGGUGUUAUGACGGUACCGGAAGAAUAAGCACCGGCUAACUUCGUGCCAGCAGCCGCCGUAAUAC
rnacentral:rRNA from 1 species